rnacentral:rRNA from 1 species
GCAAGUCGAACGGUCUGAUGUUCAACACUGAGUUUUUAGUAGUGUAGCAAGCGUCAAGCGCGAAAGAAGAGAGCGCUUCACGCAUUAACAAAGUGCCAACACAAAAGCGAAAGAUUGAGUGUUGAACAUCAGAUAGUGGCGAACGGGUGAGUAACGCGUAGACAACCUACCUUCUAGAUGGGGACAACACUGCGAAAGUGGUGCUAAUACCGAAUGUUGUAUUAAGGGUGCAUAUCCUAAAUACUAAAGGUGGCCUCUAUAUAUAAGCUAUCACUAGAAGAUGGGUCUGCGUCUGAUUAGCUAGUUGGUGAGGUAAUGGCUCACCAAGGCGACGAUCAGUAGCCGGUCUGAGAGGAUGAACGGCCACACUGGGACUGAGACACGGCCCAGACUCCUACGGGAGGCAGCAGUGGGGAAUCUUCCGCAAUGGACGAAAGUCUGACGGAGCAACGCCGCGUGAGUGAAGAAGGUUUUCGGAUCGUAAAACUCUGUUUUCAGGGACGAAUGUGCCGAUUGUAAAUAAUGAUUGGUAAUGACGGUACCUGACAAGAAAGCCACGGCUAACUACGUGCCAGCAGCCGCGGUAAUACGUAGGUGGCAAGCGUUGUCCGGAAUUAUUGGGCGU